UACGUAGGGUGCAAGCGUUGUCCGGAAUUAUUGGGCGUAAAGAGCUCGUAGGCGGUUUGUCGCGUCUGCUGUGAAAACUCGGGGCUUAACCCCGGGCCUGCAGUGGGUACGGGCAGACUAGAGUGCGGUAGGGGAGACUGGAAUUCCUGGUGUAGCGGUGAAAUGCGCAGAGUAUCAGGAGGAACACCGGUGGCGAAGGCGGGUCUCUGGGCCGAAACUGACGCUGAGGAGCGAAAGCGUGGGGAGCAAACAGG
rnacentral:rRNA from 1 species